GCAAGUCGAGCGGAGUUGAUGAGGUGCUUGCACCUUUGAUACUUAGCGGCGGACGGGUGAGUAACACGUGGGUAACCUGCCUUUAAGACUGGGAUAACAUUCGGAAACGAAUGCUAAUACCGGAUACGCGAUACGGUCGCAUGACUGAAUCGGGAAAGAUGGAGCAAUCUAUCACUUAGAGAUGGACCCGCGGCGCAUUAGCUAGUUGGUGAGGUAACGGCUCACCAAGGCGACGAUGCGUAGCCGACCUGAGAGGGUGAUCGGCCACACUGGGACUGAGACACGGCCCAGACUCCUACGGGAGGCAGCAGUAGGGAAUCUUCCGCAAUGGACGAAAGUCUGACGGAGCAACGCCGCGUGAGUGAUGAAGGUUUUCGGAUCGUAAAGCUCUGUUGCCAGGGAAGAAUGCUUGGGAGAGUAACUGCUCUCAAGGUGACGGUACCUGAGAAGAAAGCCCCGGCUAACUACGUGCCAGCAGCCGCGGUAAUACGUAGGGGGCAAGCGUUGUCCGGAAUUAUUGGGCGUAAAGCGCGCGCAGGCGGCCUUGUAAGUCUGUUGUUUAAACUCGGGGCUCAACCCCGAGUCGCAAUGGAAACUGCAAAGCUUGAGUACAGAAGAGGAAAGUGGAAUUCCACGUGUAGCGGUGAAAUGCGUAGAGAUGUGGAGG
rnacentral:rRNA from 1 species